GUUGGGCAUGGUGGCACAUGCCUGUAGUCCCAGCAGCUCAGGAGGCUGAGGCAGGAGAAUUGUGAGUUCAAAGCCAGCCUCAGCAAUUUAGUGAGGCCCUAAGCAACUCAGCAAGACCCUGUCUCUA
rnacentral:sRNA from 1 species